UGUCCCGUGUCCCAAUGGAUAAGGCGCCUGACUAAGGAUCAGGAGAUUGCAGGUUCGAGUCCUGCCGGGAUCG
rnacentral:tRNA from 1 species